CAAAAUAUAGCUUAAUACAAAGCAUUCAGCCUACACCUGAAAAAUACCCACUAAACAAGGGUUAUUUUGA
rnacentral:tRNA from 1 species